rnacentral:lncRNA from 1 species
CUGUAUUAUAUAUAUGGCAUAUCAUAUAGGUGUAUCAUGUUCAAUGUCACCUUCUUUGCAUUGAGGUGAUUUCAUGAGGGAGCUAAGACAAUGUUUCAGUGCAAAUUGGUAAUCGAUCUCCUCAAGGACAGGAUUUAUCACACAAACCAUCUUUCUGCAGUAUGACAUCUUUACCUAGGUUUGGGUUCGUGACACCAAGAUACACUUAUCUUUGUAUUUGUAUUUGUGAUCAACCAAGCUAGUGAUAUACACUUACCAUUGUAUUUGUGAUAGCAUCCACUCAUGCACAUUGUGUUAGGACUUAAGAAAAUAUAUAUUGGAAUUGUAUAA